rnacentral:lncRNA from 1 species
AGACACAGUGUAUGACUUCCGAGAUCGUGUGUUGUAUGUACAGCUAAGAGGAGGAACGUUCUGAGAUUUCGUACAGGAAGAAUACAACUCAGGACAUCCAUGUCCGUGUCUGCGCUAGGUGCCGAAAAAAUGUACCUACUCAACUGAACUCUCUUUAUUUCCCUUGGCUUUCCUUUCCAUGCUCAGAAUCGCGUGGUCUGCUGAAAUCUGUACUUGUCUAUCUACGAACCCUCAUAAUGGCUGCUUCCGUCAGUAUAAUUAUACUAAUUAAUGUGAAAAUAAUGCUGUAUGAACUAAUUACAAUGAACAUGCUGUGAAUUUUUUCCACUAAAAUGUAUUUACGGCGUCUUUAUUUGGUACAAGGAGUUUCGAGGAAUUUUUGUAACACAGCGCUGAUGACUCAGUGUGCUGUUAGUCGAACUCCUGAGAAGCAGCGCUUGACUUCAGCAGGGUUCAAGCUGCUGAGGAGCUUAAGCAGAGAAGCAGCUUUGCGCUUUGCCCGUGGUGUUCCAGACAGGAGCAAGCUGUGAAGAAUUGGGACAAUGUCCUUAAGAUGGAGAAAGAUAUCGUCGAUG